rnacentral:rRNA from 1 species
UACGAAGGGGGCUAGCGUUGUUCGGAAUUACUGGGCGUAAAGGGCGCGUAGGCGGUCCUGAUCGUCGGAUGUGAAAGGCCUGGGCUCAACCUGGGAAUGGCAUCCGAUACGGCGGGACUGGAGUGUGGGAGAGGUUGGUGGAAUUCCCAGUGUAGAGGUGAAAUUCGUAGAUAUUGGGAAGAACACCGGUGGCGAAGGCGGCUCUCUGGACCGAGACUGACGCUGAGGCGCGAAAGCGUGGGGAGCAAACAGG